rnacentral:rRNA from 1 species
CCUACGGGAGGCAGCAGUGGGGAAUAUUGCACAAUGGGGGAAACCCUGAUGCAGCGACGCCGCGUGAGCGAAGAAGUAUUUCGGUAUGUAAAGCUCUAUCAGCAGGGAAGAAAAUGACGGUAACUGACUAAGAAGCCCCGGCUAACUACGUGCCAGCAGCCGCGGUAAUACGUAGGGGGCAAGCGUUAUCCGGAUUUACUGGGUGUAAAGGGAGCGUAGACGGCAGUGCAAGUCUGGUGUGAAAGGCCGGGGCUCAACCCCGGGACUGCACUGGAAACUGUAUGGCUGGAGUGCAGGAGAGGUAAGUGGAAUUCCUAGGGUAGCGGUGAAAUGCGUAGAUAUUAGGAGGAACACCAGUGGCGAAGGCGGCCUACUGGACUGUAACUGACGUUGAGGCUCGAAAGCGUGGGGAGCAAACAGGAUUAGAUACCCUUGUAGUC